rnacentral:rRNA from 1 species
CAGGAUUCCCCUAGUAACUGCGAGUGAAGCGGGAAAAGCUCAAAUUUAAAAUCUGGUGGUCUUUGGCCAUCCGAGUUGUAAUCUAGAGAAGUGUUACCCGCGCUGGACCGUGUACAAGUCUCCUGGAAUGGAGCGUCAUAGAGGGUGAGAAUCCCGUCUUUGACACGGACUGCCAGGGCUUUGUGGUGCGCUCUCAAAGAGUCGAGUUGUUUGGGAAUGCAGCUCAAAAUGGGUGGUAAAUUCCAUCUAAAGCUAAAUAUUGGCGAGAGACCGAUAGCGAACAAGUACCGUGAGGGAAAGAUGAAAAGAACUUUGGAAAGAGAGUUAAACAGUACGUGAAAUUGCUGAAAGGGAAACGCUUGAAGUCAGUCGCGUUGGCCGGGAAUCAACCUUGCUUUUGCUGGGCGUACUUUCCGGUCGACGGGUCAGCAUCAGUUUUGACCAUUGGAAAAAGUCUAGAGGAAUGUGGCAUCUCCGGAUGUGUUAUAGCCUCUGGUCGCAUACGAUGGUUGGGACUGAGGAACUCAGCACGCCGCAAGGCCGGGUACUUGUACCACGUUCGUGCUUAGGAUGCUGGCAUAAUGGCUUUAAUCGACCCGUCUUGAAACACGGACCAAGGAGUCUAACAUGCCUGCGAGUGUUUGGGUGGAAAACCCGAGCGCGUAAUGAAAGUGAAAGUUGAGAUCCCUGUCGUGGGGAGCAUCGACGCCCGGACCAGACGUUUUCUGACGGAUCCGCGGUAGAGCAUGUAUGUUGGGACCCGAAAGAUGGUGAACUAUGCCUGAAUAGGGUGAAGCCAGAGGAAACUCUGGUGGAGGCUCGUAGCGAUUCUGACGUGCAAAUCGAUCGUCAAAUUUGGGUAUAGGGGCGAAAGACUAAUCGAACCAUCU